GACUCCAAGCUGAUAAAAUGUAUAUGCGGUAUUCACAGGUGCAAACGCUGAGCCCCAGAGCCGGGCAGCAGUGAGAGCAAGCAGUAGGGAAGCAGGAAAGGCAGCUCUGGGAUCUGCUGCAGCCCUCAGAAAGAGAAAGGGACAAAAUUAUAGCUAAACAGGAGAAGUUAUCUUGAGUGUUUGACCAAUUUAAAAGAAAAAAAAUCAUAUAACUGAGAUAGCAAGUGAACUAAUCUUCCAAACAAAAGGAUAAUGUAAACACAUUUUUAUUCUUAUAAGAAGGAAUAACUGAACUCUUUAUCACUGGUCCACUUCAGAGCUUGAAUCUGAAUUAGCCAGAAUCAAACUAUCCUUGUCUUGGGAGAAAAAUAUGAAGCCUUUCCCAUUUUGUGCCAAUAAGAAAAAGCAGAGGUUUUUUUUUCUCUGUAAGAGUGCCCUGAAUUACCAUCACCAGCAUUCAGCUGUAACUUCCACCGAUGUAU